GCCUUUGAGGUGUAGUGGUGUCAGCACACUCGACGCGUAACGGAGAGGUCCGUGGUUCGAUUCCCGGUGAAGGCG
rnacentral:tRNA from 1 species